GAGGGUAUAGCUCAAGUGGUAGAGCGCAUGCUUAGCAUGCACAAGGUCCUGGAUUCAAUCCCCAGUCCCUCCU
rnacentral:tRNA from 1 species